rnacentral:rRNA from 1 species
UACAGAGGUCUCAAGCGUUGUUCGGAUUCAUUGGGCGUAAAGGGUGCGUAGGCGGCGCGGUAAGUCGGGUGUGAAAUCUCGGGGCUUAACUCCGAAACUGCAUUCGAUACUGCCGUGCUUGAGGACUGGAGAGGAGACUGGAAUUUACGGUGUAGCGGUGAAAUGCGUAGAUAUCGUAAGGAAGACCAGUGGCGAAGGCGGGUCUCUGGGCCAUUACUGACGCUGAGGAGCGAAAGCGUGGGGAGCGAACAGG